GACGAACGCUGGCGGCGUGCCUAAUACAUGCAAGUCGAACGCAGUGGGGACGGGUGAGUAACACGUGGUUAACCUCCCAUCAGAGGGGAUAACACUUGGAAACAGGUGCUAAACCGAUACUGCUGGAUGGACCCGGGGUGCAUUAGCUAGUUGGUGAGGUAACGGCUCACCAAGGCCACGAUACAUCCCCGGCAUGAGAGGGGUAGCGGCCACACUGGGACGGAGACACGGCCCGGACUCCUACGGGAGGCAGCAGUGGGGAAUCUUCGAAAAUGGGCGAAAGUCUGACCGAGCAACGCCGCGUGGGUGAAGAAGGUUUGCGGAUCGUAAGACUCGGUUGGUAGAGAGGCGGUAUCUAACCAGAAAGCCACGGCUAACUACGUGCCAGCAGGCGCGGUAAUUG
rnacentral:rRNA from 1 species